CUGCAGCUCAAGUGGUGACCGCUAUUAUUGGGCCUAAAACGUUCGUAGCCGGCUGAGUAAAUGCUUGGGUAAAUCGUGCCGCUUAACGGUACGAAUUCCGGGUAGACUACUCAGCUUGAGACCGGGAGAAGCUAGAGGUACUCCUGGGGUAGAGGUGAAAUUCUGUAAUCCUGGGGGGACCACCAGUGGCGAAGGCGUCUAGCUAGAACGGGUCUGACGGUGAGGGACGAAACCCUGGGGCGCAAACCGGAUUAGAUACCCGCGUAGUCC
rnacentral:rRNA from 1 species